UACGAAGGGGGCUAGCGUUGUUCGGAAUUACUGGGCGUAAAGCGCACGUAGGCGGAUAUUUAAGUCAGGGGUGAAAUCCCGGGGCUCAACCCCGGAACUGCCUUUGAUACUGGGUAUCUUGAGUUCGGAAGAGGUAAGUGGAAUUGCGAGUGUAGAGGUGAAAUUCGUAGAUAUUCGCAGGAACACCAGUGGCGAAGGCGGCUUACUGGUCCGAUACUGACGCUGAGGUGCGAAAGCGUGGGGAGCAAACAGG
rnacentral:rRNA from 1 species